ensembl:lncRNA
ACUAGAAUCUGAUUCAGAAGAUAAACGAAAAACAGCACCGUCAUACUGCACUUGACAGUCACUUGACUUUUAUUGCGAUAAGAUUCAGUGGAAUCUGUUCCACUUGAGGUGCGCGGAUCAUCGCACUAAUUGGAUAACAAUAUUUUUGGGGGAAUUCCUUAAAUGAACCAAACACUGAAACCAACUUUAAUGGGUCGUUGACACAGACAUUGACAGAUACUCGCUAGUUUACAGCUAGUCACGCACAUGAUGUUCUCCGACGAUAUAAUGCGAUCAAACCAGACUGACUGCAGCUGUCACCAGCUGUCAUGUGGAAACCGGGAAGGCCCCUCCUUUUGGUAACUUGUCCUCUCCGCUCGAUUCAAACUCACACGGAGCAUGUCUAGAAGCGAUAUAGCCCCAGCCAAUGCAGAGGCAAAACGAAAGCGAUGAGAUCCAGCAGUGACGGAAGUUUAAUUCCAAUGGACUAUGAGCGUUUCAAAUUCUUAAAGACGGGGAAAGCAAUCGAGUCAAUAAAACAACUGACCACCAAACUGAUUCACGUGGAAAAUCAGUAGGAAAGCAUGCAUUUCCAUCUGUUCAUCUUGAAACGAGUUUGCAGUGACGGCUUCGGUCUGCAUGUGAAUAUGGCUCAAAAAUGACCAAUGCAUCGUCUUGGUACUUCUGUUUUGAUGCUUAUUAUACUACCUCUUGCAUUUUCCUGUGAAAGUGGCCACAAUAAAAAACAGAUCACCGAGGAUUACCGCAAUAUCAUUAAGAUUCAGCUGAAGCACGUUGAGGCUAUGACUGAACAACUAAAUUCAAACUGCACAAUAAGAAAUGUGAGCAUGUUGAAGGAGCCAACAAAUACACAACAGUCCACCCACAGAAAAAUCUGCAGGGUUAAUGGAAAACUGAGGAGAAUCAUGAGGGAAUCAGAGAAUGUAAAUGGACAACUAAAAGAUGGUUUAUAUAAGCUUGUGGAAGAAAUAAAUGCGUCUUUGAGAUGUUGGUGUCAUCAGAAGAGGGAGGGGACAAAAGAGCUGAAACAGCAAAGACGAAAGUGGAAGAUUUGCAGAGUGAAAGACAUUCUUGCCAACUUAGAGAUACAAUAUGAACAAUACAAUACGUAUCUGUCCCUCAGCACAGACCUUCCAGAGCGUGGGAAGACUUCAGAGCAAACCGGUAUAUAA